CACCGCGGUUAUACGAAAGGCCCAAGUUGAAAAACAUUCGGCGUAAAGGGUGGCUAAGGACCUAUUUCAAACUAGAGCUGAAUUUCUUCAAAGCUGUUAUACGCUCAUGAAAACUAGAAAAUCAACCACGAAAGUGGCUCUAAUCCCUCCUGACACCACGAAAGCUAUGACA
rnacentral:rRNA from 1 species